rnacentral:rRNA from 1 species
AGCAGGCACGCAAAUUACCCACUUCCGGCACGGAGAGGUAGUGACAAAAAAUAACGAUACGGGACUCUAUUGAGGCCCCGUAAUCGGAAUGAGUACACUUUAAAUCCUUUAACAAGGAUCCAUUGGAGGGCAAGUCUGGUGCCAGCAGCCGCGGUAAUUCCAGCUCCAAUAGCGUAUAUUAAAGUUGUUGCGGUUAAAAAGCUCGUAGUUGGUUCUGCGUGCCGCGCUGUCGGUUCGCCGCCUGUCGGUGUUACUGGCAUGUCGCGGCAUGUCCUGUCGGUGGUGAAUGUGAUCCCCGGUGCUACCUAGGCUUGAAUUAGCUGAAGUACGUAUCCGUGGUGAUGGCAUUUGCCGAUUUCUCCUACUCCGGUGCUCUUAAACGAGUGUCGAGGUAGGCCGACACGUUCACUUUGAACAAAUUAGAGUGCUUAAAGCAGGCUAAAAUUUCUGCCUGAAUAGUGGUGCAUGGAAUAAUAAAAUAGGACCUCGGUUCUAUUUUAUUGGUUUUAGGAAUAUGAGGUAAUGAUCAAUGUGGACUGGCGGGGGCAUUCGUAUUGCGACGUUAGAGGUGAAAUUCUUGGAUCGUCGCAAGACGCACUAGAGCGAAAGCAUUUGCCAAGUAUGUCUUAAUUGAUCAAGAACGAAAGUUAGAGGUUCGAAGGCGAUCAGAUACCGCCCUAGUUCUAACCAUAAACGAUGCCAGCCAGCGAUCCGCCGAUGUUCCUUUAAUGACUCGGCGGGGAGCUUCCGACCCGGGAAACCAAAGCUUUUGGGUUCCGGGGGAAGUAUGGUUGCAAAGCUGAAACUUAAAGGAAUUGACGGAAGGGCACCACCAGGAGUGGAGCCUGCGGCUUAAUUUGACUCAACACGGGAAACCUCACCAGGCCAGGACAUUGGAAGGAUUGACAGAUUGAUAGCUCUUUCUUGAUUCAGUGGGUAGUGGUG